GCCGCGAAUUCGCCCUUAGAGUUUGAUUAUGGCUCAGGAUGAACGCUGGCGGCGUGCCUAAUACAUGCAAGUCGAGCGAAUGGAUUAAGAGCUUGCUCUUAUGAAGUUAGCGGCGGACGGGUGAGUAACACGUGGGUAACCUGCCCAUAAGACUGGGAUAACUCCGGGAAACCGGGGCUAAUACCGGAUAAUAUUUUGAACCGCAUGGUUCGAAAUUGAAAGGCGGCUUCGGCUGUCACUUAUGGAUGGACCCGCGUCGCAUUAGCUAGUUGGUGAGGUAACGGCUCACCAAGGCAACGAUGCGUAGCCGACCUGAGAGGGUGAUCGGCCACACUGGGGCUGAGACACGGCCCAGACUCCUACGGGAGGCAGCAGUAGGGAAUCUUCCGCAAUGGACGAAAGUCUGACGGAGCAACGCCGCGUGAGUGAUGAAGGCUUUCGGGUCGUAAAACUCUGUUGUUAGGGAAGAACAAGUGCUAGUUGAAUAAGCUGGCACCUUGACGGUACCUAACCAGAAAGCCACGGCUAACUACGUGCCAGCANCCGCGGUAAUACGUAGGUGGCAAGCGUUAUCCGGAAUUAUUGGGCGUAAAGCGCGCGCAGGUGGUGUCUUA
rnacentral:rRNA from 1 species